UGAUGGCCGUUUUAACGUUUAUAUCAUGUUUACAGAUACAGUGCCUGUAGGGAAUAUCUAGAUAAGCACACAGUUAAGGGGAUAUGUCCAAGGGUAUAGUCUAUAAUACUUAUUUUUUGCAUCUUGCACAUAUAGUGAGCUAUUUGCAGCAUUUACAAGCUAUUGAAAACCCAAUUUACACAUAAUUGAGUGCAUUUGUUGUUAUCAUUUUUGCACUGCUUGCAGCUGUUGCCAUAACUACACAUUUGAGGAUAUGUUGGUGUAACCUCUGUUUCCUCUGUUCGGGGCAUCUAUACAGCUUCCUGCAACAAGGGAUGUUGCAUGCUAGUAGGCACACAGUUAUCCUUGAAGACUCUUCAGCCUCACAUCAGUACAGACUCUACCUGGCUGCCAUGUACUACAAUGAAAAUGCUGACCGACCACAAGCCCAAACAAAAGAAGGUGAACCACUGUUCAAGGUCCAAUUUCCAAAGGCCAUGAAGGGAGAAUGCAGAGCUAAACCAGGAAUGUGGUGGACCUCAUAUUUGAAAAAGUCUUUGUUGACCUGGGACCAUACACAGAAGCUGCUUUGGCCAUCCCCAUCCCAUAGGACCUCACUGCACAGUUUGAGCGGCCUGAGAAGGAGUAGGUCAUAUCAUGGAGCAGUCUAAAACCCACAUACCGGCCUGUGGCGUCAGGGAACACGGCAUGGAUGCGUAGGACCACGCAGGCUGGAAUGACGACCCAGAUUCUGCAACCAAGGAAGCCCCAGCACCAGCUCACAAAGCUCCUAUAGGCUAGAUACCUGUACCGACUAAAACAACUGGACAGGGCAUUUAGUCUUGCAAACAUAUCUAUGUUGUGUCUCACAAUUCUUUUUUAUGGAUACAGUGAAUCUUACAGUUUUUUUAUUAUCACUGAUUAUAACUGCCUCAUUUGGUGUAAAUAAAUGCUUGAUUGUUACUAAAGAAAUGACUCCUCUGAAUUCAUAUAUUAUAUGCACACUAUCUGCUGAUAGAAGAACUUUACAAAUCAAAGAGCAGCUAAACUAAUUUAUUUGAGUGUGUGUUACUCUAUUUGUGGUGUGUUAUUACCAUUGUAAAAUUAUGUGCACUGAAGUAAAACAAGACUGCCUAACA